AUUGUGCCAAGGAUAUUGGAGUUGCGAAGUCAACUGGCCGAUUGGGCAAUAGGCCGCAGGAGAGGACGAUGCGCCGAAGAAUCAGACGAAGCGUCGAGGGACCAAUGACAUGCCGGACAACUUGGUUAAUUGCUUAGGAUUAAUUGUCUCGAUCGAAGUUUUGCUUUAAUUGUGCAGGAUUAACUAUGAUAACGAUGAAGACAUAAA
rnacentral:lncRNA from 1 species